UCCUUAGAUCUUUAAGGUUUGAGUCUGCAGGUUGUUCAGUUCUUAGAUCUUUAAGGUUUGAGUCUGCAGGUUGUUCAGUCCUUAGAUCUUUAAGGUUUGAGUCUGCAGGUUGUUCAGUCCUUAGAUCUUUAAGGUUUGAGUCUGCAGGUUGUUCAGUCCUUAGAUCUUUAAGGUUUGAGUCUGCAGGUUGUUCAGUCCUUAGAUCUUUAAGGUUUGAGUCUGCAGGGUGUUCAGUCCUUAGAUCUUUAAGGUUUGAGUCUGCAGGGUGUUCAGUCCUUAGAUCUUUAAGGUUUGAGUCUGCAGGUUGUUCAGUCCUUAGAUCUUUAAGGUUUGAGUCUGCAGGUUGUUCAGUCCUUAGAUCUUUAAGGUUUGAGUCUGCAGGUUGUUCAGUCCUUAGAUCUUUAAGGUUUGAGUCUGCAGGUUGUUCAGUCCUUAGAUCUUUAAGGUUUGAGUCUGCAGGUUGUUCAGUCCUUAGAUCUUUAAGGUUUGAGUCUGCAGGUUGUUCAGUCCUUAGAUCUUUAAGGUUUGAGUCUGCAGGUUGUUCAGUUCUUAGAUCUUUAAGGUUUGAGUCUGCAGGUUGUUCAGUUCUUAGAUCUUUAAGGUUUGAGUCUGCAGGUUGUUCAGUUCUUAGAUCUUUAAGGUUUGAGUCUGCAGGUUGUUCAGUUCUUAGAUCUUUAAGGUUUGAGUCUGCAGGGUGUUCAGUCCUUAGAUCUUUAAGGUUUGAGUCUGCAGGGUGUUCAGUCCUUAGAUCUUUAAGGUUUGAGUCUGCAGGGUGUUCA